AUUGAACGCUGGCGGCAUGCUUUACACAUGCAAGUCGGACGGCAGCACAGAGAAGCUUGCUUCUUGGGUGGCGAGUGGCGAACGGGUGAGUAAUAUAUCGGAACGUACCGAGUAAUGGGGGAUAACUAAUCGAAAGAUUAGCUAAUACCGCAUAUUCUCUGAGGAGGAAAGCAGGGGACCUUCGGGCCUUGCGUUAUUCGAGCGGCCGAUAUCUGAUUAGCUAGUUGGUGGGGUAAAGGCCUACCAAGGCGACGAUCAGUAGCGGGUCUGAAAGGAUGAUCCGCCACACUGGGACUGAGACACGGCCCAGACUCCUACGGGAGGCAGCAGUGGGGAAUUUUGGACAAUGGGCGCAAGCCUGAUCCAGCCAUGCCGCGUGUCUGAAGAAGGCCUUCGGGUUGUAAAGGACUUUUGUCAGGGAAGAAAAGGCUGUUGCUAAUACCGACAGCCGAUGACGGUACCUGAAGAAUAAGCACCGGCUAACUACGUG
rnacentral:rRNA from 1 species